UACGGAGGGUGCAAGCGUUGUCCGGAUUUAUUGGGUUUAAAGGGUACGUAGGCGGCUAAUUAAGUCAGCGGUGAAAUUCCAGAGCUCAACUCUGCGAACUGCCAUUGAUACUGGUUAGCUUGAGUACAGAUGAGGUAGGCGGAAUUGACAGUGUAGCGGUGAAAUGCUUAGAUAUUGUCAAGAACACCUAUUGCGAAGGCAGCUUACUAAACUGUAACUGACGCUGAGGCACGAAAGCGUGGGGAUCAAACAGG
rnacentral:rRNA from 1 species